rnacentral:rRNA from 19 species
CACUAGCGCGGUGGUCCCACCUGACCCCAUGCCGAACUCAGAAGUGAAACGCCGUAGCGCCGAUGGUAGUGUGGGGUCUCCCCAUGCGAGAGUAGGGAACUGCCAGGC